rnacentral:rRNA from 1 species
GGUGAAAAGCACCCCGGAAGGGGAGUGAAAUAGAACCUGAAACCGUGUGCUUACAAGUAGUCAGAGCCCGUUAAUGGGUGAUGGCGUGCCUUUUGUAGAAUGAACCGGCGAGUUACGAUUUGAUGCAAGGUUAAGCAGUAAAUGUGGAGCCGUAGCGAAAGCGAGUCUGAAUAGGGCGUUUAGUAUUUGGUCGUAGACCCGAAACCAGGUGAUCUACCCUUGGUCAGGUUGAAGUUCAGGUAACACUGAAUGGAGGACCGAACCGACUUACGUUGAAAAGUGAGCGGAUGAACUGAGGGUAGCGGAGAAAUUCCAAUCGAACCUGGAGAUAGCUGGUUCUCUCCGAAAUAGCUUUAGGGCUAGCCUCAAGUGAUGAUUAUUGGAGGUAGAGCACUGUUUGGACGAGGGGCCCCUCUCGGGUUACCGAAUUCAGACAAACUCCGAAUGCCAAUUAAUUUAACUUGGGAGUCAGAACAUGGGUGAUAAGGUCCGUGUUCGAAAGGGAAACAGCCCAGACCACCAGCUAAGGUCCCAAAAUAUAUGUUAAGUGGAAAAGGAUGUGGCGUUGCCCAGACAACUAGGAUGUUGGCUUAGAAGCAGCCAUCAUUUAAAGAGUGCGUAAUAGCUCACUAGUCGAGUGACACUGCGCCGAAAAUGUACCGGGGCUAAACAUAUUACCGAAGCUGUGGAUUGUCCUUUGGACAAUGGUAGGAGAGCGUUCUAAGGGCGUUGAAGCAUGAUCGUAAGGACAUGUGGAGCGCUUAGAAGUGAGAAUGCCGGUGUGAGUAGCGAAAGACGGGUGAGAAUCCCGUCCACCGAUUGACUAAGGUUUCCAGAGGAAGGCUCGUCCGCUCUGGGUUAGUCGGGUCCUAAGCUGAGGCCGACAGGCGUAGGCGAUGGAUAACAGGUUGAUAUUCCUGUACCACCUAUAAUCGUUUUAAUCGAUGGGGGGACGCAGUAGGAUAGGCGAAGCGUGCGAUUGGAUUGCACGUCUAAGCAGUAAGGCUGAGUAUUAGGCAAAUCCGGUACUCAUUAAGGCUGAGCUGUGAUGGGGAGAAGACAUUGUGUCUUCGAGUCGUUGAUUUCACACUGCCGAGAAAAGCCUCUAGAUAGAAAAUAGGUGCCCGUACCGCAAACCGACACAGGUAGUCAAGAUGAGAAUUCUAAGGUGAGCGAGCGAACUCUCGUUAAGGAACUCGGCAAAAUGACCCCGUAACUUCGGGAGAAGGGGUGCUCUUUAGGGUUAACGCCCAGAAGAGCCGCAGUGAAUAGGCCCAAGCGACUGUUUAUCAAAAACACAGGUCUCUGCUAAACCGUAAGGUGAUGUAUAGGGGCUGACGCCUGCCCGGUGCUGGAAGGUUAAGAGGAGUGGUUAGCUUCUGCGAAGCUACGAAUCGAAGCCCCAGUAAACGGCGGCCGUAACUAUAACGGUCCUAAGGUAGCGAAAUUCCUUGUCGGGUAAGUUCCGACCCGCACGAAAGGCGUAACGAUUUGGGCACUGUCUCAACGAGAGACUCGGUGAAAUCAUAGUACCUGUGAAGAUGCAGGUUACCCGCGACAGGACGGAAAGACCCCGUGGAGCUUUACUGUAGCCUGAUAUUGAAAUUCGGCACAGCUUGUACAGGAUAGGUAGGAGCCUUUGAAACGUGAGCGCUAGCUUACGUGGAGGCGCUGGUGGGAUACUACCCUAGCUGUGUUGGCUUUCUAACCCGCACCACUUAUCGUGGUGGGAGACAGUGUCAGGCGGGCAGUUUGACUGGGGCGGUCGCCUCCUAAAAGGUAACGGAGGCGCUCAAAGGUUCCCUCAGAAUGGUUGGAAAUCAUUCAUAGAGUGUAAAGGCAUAAGGGAGCUUGACUGCGAGACCUACAAGUCGAGCAGGGUCGAAAGACGGACUUAGUGAUCCGGUGGUUCCGCAUGGAAGGGCCAUCGCUCAACGGAUAAAAGCUACCCCGGGGAUAACAGGCUUAUCUCCCCCAAGAGUUCACAUCGACGGGGAGGUUUGGCACCUCGAUGUCGGCUCAUCGCAUCCUGGGGCUGUAGUCGGUCCCAAGGGUUGGGCUGUUCGCCCAUUAAAGCGGUACGCGAGCUGGGUUCAGAACGUCGUGAGACAGUUCGGUCCCUAUCCGUCGUGGGCGUAGGAAAUUUGAGAGGAGCUGUCCUUAGUACGAGAGGACCGGGAUGGACAUACCUCUGGUGUACCAGUUGUCGUGCCAACGGCAUAGCUGGGUAGCUAUGUGUGGACGGGAUAAGUGCUGAAAGCAUCUAAGCAUGAAGCCCCCCUCAAGAUGAGAUUUCCCAACUUCGGUUAUAAGAUCCCUCAAAGAUGAUGAGGUUAAUAGGUUCGAGGUGGAAG